GUGCCUUCGAGGCAAGAUUGUGUCAUGGCAGGCAGAUUCCUCAGCCUCUUCAAAGUGUUCAGGGGGAAAAGAAAGAAAGAACCUGGAGCUUCCCCAGCACAAAUGCCUGAAGAGCCGGAGCAAUUUCAACCACUGCAGGAUGGUGAGCGGCAGAGCUGGGCCACAGGGCUGAUGGCUGCAGCCAGCUAGACCCCAUCCCAUCCCAUCCCAUCCCAUCCCAUCCCAUCCCAUCCCAUCCCAUCCCAUCCCAUCCCAUCCCAUCCCAUCCCAUCCCCUCCGCUGUGGACAUGCCCAUGGACAGGACGGAAGAGGGGCUUGAGCUGACCCCGGCACUGGCCGUGCUCCAUACCCUGAGCCAUCCCAGGACUGUCCCUGCCUGGGGAGUGCAGGGCUGGGCUGUGUUCUCCAGCCUCUCCCGCAGCCCCUCAGCUCUGGCUGCUCUUUGCCAGAUGCAGCCAUGGACAGGAAACAAGAGCAGGACACCGCCCGUGGCCGCUUCAGCAGAGCAGCGCAGGUACCUGCAGCCAUCCCCACCUGGGCUGGGCCUGCUGUCACUGCUCAGCCCAGCACCACACUUGGAGCACUCCAUGGAACAUGCCUCUCUUCCCUGUCCUUUGUUCUCCUUGCAGAGGUUCCGGAAGUUUCUGCGCAUUCGGCAUAGAAAGAACACCACCACAGCAGCAACUGAGGGCACAGCUGAGCCUGACUCUGGGCUGGCCGAGCUCCAGGCAGAGCCUGAUGUCAGCCCAGAUUCAGCUGAGCGCUCAGAAGACUCUGACGCUGCAGUGAAUGAUGAGAGGGCAAACUCUGACAUGGCAGGGAAUGAGGAUGAGGCCAUUCCAAAUGAUGACACUGGAGAGACUCAGGGCAUUGCAUAUGCUGACAUCACACCCGCUCCUGCUCUGAGUCAGGAACUCAUAAUGGACCAUUUCAAGGACAGUGUUUCUUCUGAGCAGCAGGUACCCAGCCUGGGGCCAGAACUGGAGGCCUCCCUGGAUCAUGUUCCCUCUCAAGCCACAUCCACAGGGCCCCCUCAGCCUUUGAGGCCAGCAGAAUGUGAUGGGAUGGUGCCAACUAUUGUAAGGAAUAUUCAUCAGAGUCUCAUGUCCCAUGUCACUGUGGAUGCCAGGCAGCAAAUUGACAUUAUAAGGCUGGCUGAAGAACACCCGGCCGAUGUGGCGCUGACCCUCCUGCGCUGUGCCCCAUCGUGUGACAGAGCUGCUGCAAUGAUGUGGCAAACCAUAGGCUCGUCAGGACCAACAGUGGAGAAAGUGCUGCCAGCACUGCUCUGUGUGAUGGAGAACUGGCCACUUUGCAGCAUCUGCACCUCUGAUGGAGACAACCAGGAUGUUUUCCCCCUGACUGCAACUGUGGUGCUCUGGGUGAUUAUCCAAGUGCCUGAAUGCCACGAGGCGAUGAUCCUUUAUUCUGCCCGCCUGUUUGUGGCUCUGCUGUUCCAUGUUGUCAUCACCACCCAGCAAAUGCCACCAGUGGAAGCUGACAGCAUCUGGAGAGCAUGCCGGGAACAACACCGCUUUCCCAGCAACCCCAACAGGUUUGCAGUGCGGACCCUGAAGGCUCUGCUCUGCCGACUACGGUGUGACAACGAGUUGAUGGCUAUGGAGCGCAAGCGUGGCUGGGACACGCUGCUCUGUGCUGACACCCAGCACUAUGCCGUGGGUCUGCUGGCCAGGGAGAUGCGCCAUGUCUUGAUCCCCUUCUGUUCCCACAUUGCGCUCCAGCUGCUCAAGUCACUCAGAAGGGAGGAGCCAUGCUGUGAUCUGUCCUUCCUGGCAUUCCUUGUGGAGGUGAGCCUGAUGGCCAGCACUGCCUUGCUGAGCUGCCUGCCAGCCCUGUCCCCUUGCAUAGCCACAGCUGCCUGGGACGGUGCCCGUGCCCUGUGCUGCUGCCUGGACCCAGCCCUGUGCACUUCCAGGCUCCUGCCGGCCGGCUCCCCUCUCACUGCCCUGUGCCUUUCAGGUCCUGGAUUGCCUGGACUUGAGUGAAUGUAGUGACAGUGUCCUGGAGAUCAUGUCAAGGCACCUGCAGAGCAAGUGCAGGCAGAGGUGUCGCCUGGUGCUCAGAGGCCUCGUGGUGCUCAGCAAGUAUCCCUUGAUGGUGAGAAGGGGGCAGCAGCUGAAGCUGUGCUGGGGAAAGAAGUCCCUUGGGCUGGCUGGGCUUCAGGAGCUCAGGCAGCUGCUCCCAGCUCUCCUGCCUCACCUGCCUGAGUGCUUUGGCCUUUGGCCUCUGGGCCCGGCAGCAGCAGGGUGGGGUUGCAGUGCCAGGGAAGUGUUGGUGGUGAAGGUGUUUGUGGCUUCCCAGCACAGCCUUGUGUUCCACACAGGCCGUAAGAAUGUGCAGCUUGUCUCAAAGCCUUCAGGAGCUGCUGGGUGACGCAGAUGGAGAUGUUGUUGACAUGGCCCUCUGUGUAUUCAGUAAUAUACUCAACAAUAAAGACAUCCUGAUAUCCA
rnacentral:lncRNA from 1 species